UCAACGCAAAAGACUACCAAUUCUCUCUGUAAUCUUCUUAGAGUUCCUCUCCAGAUUUCUCAAAUUGCACCGUUGCGCCGCCGCCUGAGGUAAAAUACCAAUUCAUUUUAUCCUUGUUUUUUAAGGACCGAUCAGUGAACAAUCUACGAUUUUAUUAUUGCAUUCUUCAAAAAAUUAUUUCUUUGAUCUUCGAAUUUUUCGUUUUCCGUUCUAUCUCGCGACAUUAAAUCAAUAAGGUGUGAUUAAUAAUAAUUGAGUGGAGUAUCGCGCUGUCGAAAUUUCUGGCAAUUUACACCACAUAGUUGAGAUGAUUUAGAAACCGUUGAACGUGGAUUUGAUUGGUUGAUCUGUUAUUCAGUUGUGUAGAACUCGAUUUUUUAAAUCUACUUAGAUUUUGAUGGGGGAUAUAAAAAGCUCAGAAUCGACAUGCAUUUUAUCCUACAUCAAAGAGGCAUACUAUAUUUAGCAACUGCCGUUGAUCAGUUUGGAUUGUCAUCUAUACAAAAUUGUAAUGGGUAUAUUGAAUUGAUUUACUUUCAUUUAUUUUAUGGCAACAUUAUGGAUGUCGAUUUGUCGAAUAUAAAGAAAUGGGUGAUCGUGUACCCAAUUUACAUAAAUUCGAAAAAAACCCUAGCCGAGGGACGGAGAAUCAAUGCCAGCAAAGCAUGUGAAAAUCCUACAUGCACCGAGGUUUAUGAUUGCUGUGCUCACUUGAAAAUUCCCCGUGUGAUUGAGUGAGAAGGCAUACCCUCGAGAUUUUAUGCAAAGAGGUAGAGUGAGUGAUGUUGAAAAAGGAAGACGGGAGCUUCUACAAUCCAGCUAUUUCUUCGAGGAAGCAACUAAAGCUUCACGUUGCCGAGCUGGUUCGCCGACAUCCGGGUCGGACGAAGAAACAGGAGCCCGCCACGUCUGCUGCCGUCGGUUCUAAAUAUGGAAAGGGUGGAAAGAAGAAGCGGUAGGACGUGGUAUGGCUGUUACGAGACAUUGUUGGAGAUGAUCUUGUACAUCUUAAUGGUGGAUUGUUGAAAUGUGAAUUUGUAGCUGCUCUAACUAAAGUAGUUGUUUAUUAGUACUUUUUUUUUCUAAAAAUAUAUAGUAAUUGUUGCACUUGUACAUUGCCAAUAUUUUGACUUUUGAUAUGUUUCCAAAUAUAUUUAAAUAUUUUGACUUUUGAUAUGUUUCCAAAUA